rnacentral:lncRNA from 10 species
GUUUUCUUCUCGAUCGUCUACCCUCAUUCCCACGAUCCACUCAGAUGCUCCUCCUAGACAGCAGUUGUCUGAUAUUUCUCCUUUUGUGGUUGUUUUAGGGAAAAACUUAAAAUGGAUAUGAAAAGUGAAGAAAGUGAUCAUAGGAGAAAACCAUUUCAGGUGUCUGAUGAUUUGUGAGCCUCAAGUGACUACUCUGUGGAAUCAUCUGUCCUUGCCUUUGAAUUAGCUUUCCCUAGGCCAUGAGUCAACAUUAGUAGUUUAUACAUCCAAAUUGAUGACAAGAGCACCUCAAAGGCAGCAGCCUCAAGGAGCAGCCAUGGCCCCAGACUUGUCGCACGGAUGCAGAAAACUUAAUGGAGGAGGCUGAGCAAAACAGAGCGUGACACUCCCAAUCAUCUGCAUGCUGGAAAUGAGGAAAUGGUUAUUGAAUGAUACAAGUGCUUUUCGAUCAUUUAGAAAGUUCUGUUUCCCAAGAUCUUUUUUUUUUUUUUUUUUUUUGAGACGGUGUCUUGCUCUGUCACCCAGGCUGGAGUGCAGUGGCGCGAUCUCGGCUCACCACAACCUCCACCUCCUGGGUUCAAGCGAUUCU